UGGGGUAAUGGCUUACCAAGGCGAAGACGGCUAGGGGGCGUGAGAGCGCGAACCCCCACAAUGGAACUGAGACACGGUCCAUACUCCUACGGGAGCGCAGCAGUGAGGAAUAUUGCGCAAUGGGGGCAACCCUGACGCAGCAACGCCGCGUGGACGAUGAAGGCCUACGGGUUGUAAAGUCCUUUUCUGAAGGAAGAUAGUGACGGUACUUCAGGAAUCAGUCCCGACUAACUACGUGCCAGCAGCCGCGGUAAAACGUAGGGGGCGAGCGUGAUCCGGAUUUACUGGGCGUAAAGCGCACGUAGGCGGCAUCGUAAGUCGGACCGUGAAAAGCUCCCGGGCUCACUGGGAGAGGUCUGUCAAAACUGUGGUGCUUGAGGUUGAUAGAGGAGAGUGGAAUUCCCGGUGUAGUGGUGGAAUGCGUAGAUAUCGGGAGGAACACCAGUGGCGAAGGCGGCUCUCUAGGUCACACCUGACGCUGAGGUGCGAAAGCGUGGGGAGCGAACGGGAUUAGAUACCCCGGUAGUCCACGCUGUAAACGAUGGAUACUAGGUGUGGGAGGUUAUUUACCCCUUCUGUGCCGUAGCUAACGCGUUAAGUAUCCCGCCUGGGGACUACGGCCGCAAGGUUAAAACUCAAAGGAAUUGACGGGGGCCCGCACAAGCAGCGGAGCGUGUGGUUUAAUUCGAUGAUACGCGAAGAACCUUACCUGGGCUUGACAUGGUGGUAGUAGUGAAGCGAAAGCGGAACGACCCUUCGGGGAGCCAUCACAGGUGCUGCAUGGCUGUCGUCAGCUCGUGUCGUGAGAUGUUGGGUUAAGUCCCGCAACGAGCGCAACCCUCGUCGCUAGUUAUAUGUGUCUAGUGAGACUGCCGGUAUCAAACCGGAGGAAGGUGGGGAUGACGUCAAGUCAGCAUGGUCUUUAUGUCCAGGGCUACACACACGCUACAAUGGCCGGUACAAUGGGUUGCCAUACCGCGAGGUGGAGCUAAUCCUCAAAGCCGGUCUCAGUUCGGAUUGCAGUCUGCAACUCGGCUGCAUGAAGGUGGAGUUGCUAGUAACCGCGCGUCAGCAAUAGUGCGGUGAAUGCGUUCCCGGGCCUUGUACACACCGCCCGUCACAUCAUGGGAGUCGGCAACACCUGAAGUCGGUGACCAAACCGAAAGG
rnacentral:rRNA from 1 species